CCCUCCUGGGUUCCCUUUUUUCCCCUUGUCUUAUUUCCUUUUAGGUUUUAUUACUGCUGCUACCACUUUACGUUUAUUUUGACAUAGAAAUAGAGAUUUUACCAUCUUGUUGCUGCUUCAGUGAUGUGAGGCUUUUCACCGGUCUGUUUGAUGUUCUUCUCUGUGCCUGGAUUCCCCCCCACCUCAGCCGUUUUUCCUUCAGCGAGGGGUGCCAGGACUCCAAAAAGACACUGCCGAAGUUCCUUUGACUUGAGCUUCCUUCCAAGCCUUUUCAGGGGUCGUCUAGCCAAACGUUGCCCCUCACAGUACCGGUGUAUGCCCCAAACUGCUUACUGCAGUCAGAGCUCACACUGUUGCAGCUGUGGUAAAAGCGGAAGUGCCCCUUCAUACUGCUAUGAUUACACUGAAAUUCUUUUUCUUGCACAGGUUUCCAUAUGGAUAGCAUUGGGGAUUGCCCAGCUGCAGAAACAGCCCAAGUGGCAAAGUUUUCAGGCAACAUACCUGUGAAGCAACACAAGAUCAGACAGGUGCUCAGCUAGGAGGGUUGCUUGCAGUGCCACAGAGGACACUGCAAAAUGUCACUAUGUUCUAUCAAGAUGUGUGGGCCAGUAUCCCAUGCAAAAUCUCAAGGGACCCUGGACCUGCACCUCUUAGAUUAUUUGGUGCAACUACUUUGAAUAGCAACACUUAUGAGGCUGGCCUUAGAACAAGGAUGGGGAACCUGUGGCUCUGCAGAUAUGACUGAACUGCAGCUGCCAUUAUGUGUGACCACUAACCAUGCUGCCUGUUGCUAAACAUAUGUCAAGACCCCUAAACAUCUGCAAGGCCACAGGUUGCCCAUCCCUGUCUUAGAUAAUAUGUAGUAUCAUUAAAUGUUACAACUGGAUUUUUUGGCACAUGUUCCACAUUGGCAUUCUGAGAGUGGCAUAGCACAUGAGCUGUAAAACCCUCCUUUGCGAUAGGAGGACCAGAAUACUGAUCUACUUCAGAGGGUGAUGGUAGCACUUAGUGAGAGAAUAUGUGCAAAGUGCUUUGAACAUUCUAAAAGUGUAAUAACAACAAUAAUAACUUCUCUUGUGAAAGGGUUGCUUCCCACGAUUCAUUGGGGGAUUUAUUUUAAAGAGAAACUCUUUUUGUUAUUCUGAUUGCAAAUGGCAAUUGGUGCACAUGGUAAACCUUAGUGGUGCGCCGGGAACCAUGGCGAUCUGCACGUGGAAAGUCAGCUAUGAACAUGGGGGCCAGAUGACUCAUCCUGGAGGCAACAGAGCUCUGAGUGCUUUAUUCCUGUCUGCUAAAAUUAGAGCGAGAAUUAAAACACCAUUGCAUUUUUAGUGUUCCCAUAAAUUUGUGUCAGCCAUGUCAGUCAAUAUAAUUAACGUAAAGCCAUUACCAGAAGGAAGAAGCCGUGGCCAUCUUCCCCCCACCCACAAAUGAGUAAUGUGUUGGAAAUUUAAUCUAAUGUCCAUAAUAGCAUGAAUAAAUGAAGCAUAAAUAAAUAGAAUUUAUCCUUUAAACAAAGGUCAUUACAAAUAUCAUGUUACGGCCUGAAAAUGCAGGGCAGGGGAGUCUCUCACCAGGUAUGCAGUUUCUGUCUGCAAGAAGGUGCCUUUCUCAAAUGAAGUGACUUUCAAGAAGCUCUCUCCUUCCUGGCUUUUAGUUCAAGGUUUGGGGUUUCUAAGCAACUGCACAAAGAUUAGAAUAAUGCGGAAUGGCUUGUUGAUGGUGGAAGACAGAAUGUUCAGUGAUGUGGUUGGCUGUAAAAAUAAAAUAAAAUAGUGCAACAUGUCCUCCAAGUUCCCGUCCUCCCACUCUCCGUGCAUAAGUGGCUAAUAACAGCCAGAAAAAUGGUUGCUUUCGUGAGAAGGCUUAAAAAUAGCGCGUUGCUUAGUUCAUCACAGGGAAGGUUGUGUAAAGGCACCACACGCCCUCAAAUAUGCAAGAAAUGACCUAAGGUGCAAUACUCAAAAGUUGAGAUCCCCUUUUAAAUCUUCAGGACAUGGCCUGGGGGCAGAUAAUGCAAAAAAGGUGGGGGUUAUAAAUUGGACCAAAUAAAUAAUCUAAACUAAUUUUCAUCAGUAAAAUAAAACAAAAUAAACUGACUCAGUAGUUUGCUGGUAGGAACCGCUUCCUGCAACUGUAAAUAAGUUGAAUGAAAAGGGGAAUUUGUUUCCAUUCUGACUGUAGGCAGAGGUGGAAUGUACCCAGGAAGCACCAUGCAAGUGGAUGUAACAGUCACUGGUUUAUGUACUUCCUAUACGCAUUACAUUUUUAUUUCACCUUUCCUCCAGGGUGAUGCACAUGCUGUCAUUCUGUCCAUGUAACAGCCCUGUAAGGCCGAUUAGGCUCAAAGAUCACACAGAUCAUGGCAGAAGAGGGAUUUUGAACUUGGGUCUUCCCAAUCGUGAACUGGCAAUUCUAAUGCAAUCAGCCAGCCUUCCCCAACUGGGUGUUUUCCAGAUAUUUUAGACUACAAUUCCCAUCAGCCCCACUUGACUGCGGCUGAUGGGAGUUGCAGUCCAAGACAUUUUCAGUGUACCCAAUUGGGGAGACUUCGUUUGCCACAGUUUGCCCAGCCACUCAGUCCCCUCUGGCUUUGCUCAGUGGUGAGAAACCUCCUGACUUCUACUGAAGCUCAUUGGAGUUCUUCCCCCUUCACAGUCAGUGGUUCCUUCCCACCUGCAGUCAAACCACUUCACCAGCCAUCACUAGUGAAAAGCAAUGAAUCAACCUGGCAGUAUUUCAAAGACAGCUUGGCUGCAUCUUGCAGACUAGACUGCCUGCUGUCGAAGGUGCCUCUCUGAUGUCAGGGCCGCUGUCACGGCAGCAAGCAGUUGGAAGACUCCCUUUCAAAUUGUGGGUGCAGACGCUGCAAUGCUAGCUUUUCAACUAGUGUCAGAUUUUCAUAGGCAAGUAGUUUUCUGACUCUGGCAAUGUGGCAGUGCUGAUUUGUUGGUAUCUUCAUUGAAUGGAAGCCUUUUACCUUUGAGAGCCAAACUACAUGUGUAACCUUCCCCUGGCAUUCCCCUUCUCCCAUACACACCUGCAGUCAACUGUAUGGAAGAUGUAACAUACAAAUGUUUGGUUUCUGAGCCAUUCAUGAUUUAACAAACAAUUUCUGAUCUAAAGCCAGUUAUGUAAAAAAAACAGUUUUUU